rnacentral:rRNA from 1 species
UCCUACGGGAGGCAGCAGCAGGGAAUAUUGUGCAAUGAACGAAAGUUUGACACAGCGACACCGCGUGUGGGAUGACGGAUCUAGGUUUGUAAACCACUUUCAGGAGGGAAGAAAAUGACGGUACCUCCAUAAGAAGCCCCGGCCAACUACGUGCCAGCAGCCGCGGUAAUACGUAGGGGGCGAGCGUUGUCCGGAUUUAUUGGGCGUAAAGAGCUCGUAGGCGGUUCAACAAGUCGGUCGUGAAAGUUCAGGGCUCAACCCUGAAAUGUCGAUCGAUACUGUUGUGACUAGGAUACGGUAGAGGUGAGUGGAAUUCCGAGUGUAGCGGUGAAAUGCGUAGAUAUUCGGAGGAACACCAAUUGCGAAGGCAGCUCACUGGGCCGCUAUCGACGCUGAGGAGCGAAAGCUAGGGGAGCAAACAGGAUUAGAUACCCUGGUAGUCCUAGCUGUAAACGAUGGAUACUAGACGUAGGAACUGGAUUGACGGUUUCUGUGUCGCAGCUAACGCGUUAAGUAUCCCGCCUGGGGAGUACGGUCGCAAGACUAAAACUCAAAGGAAUUGACGGA